CGGUUUGUGAGAGUUUGGGGUCAGGGCUGGAGAUUUAGGGUCAUUUCAUGAGAGUUUGGGGUCAGAUGCUGAGAUUUGGGGCUGAUUGGGCUGAAUUUGGGGUCAGUUCAUGAGAGUUUGGGGUCAGAUGCUGAGAUUUGGGGUCAGAUGCUGAGAUUUGGGGUCAUUUCAUGAGAGUUCGGGGUCAGAUGCUGAGAUUUGGGGUCAGAUGCUGAGAUUUGGGGCGAUUGGGCUGAAUUUGGGGUCGGGUGCUGAGAUUUGGGUCAUUUUGUGAGGGUUUGGGGUCAGAUGCUGAGAUUUGGGAUCAGUUCAUGAGAGUUUGGGGUCAGAUGCUGAGAUUUGGGGUCAGAUGCUGAGAUUUGGGGCCGAUUGGGCUGAAUUUGGGGUCAGAUCUGGAGAUAUGGGGUCAGAUGCUGAGAUUUGGGGUCAGAUGCUGAGAUUUGGGGCCGAUUGGGCUGAAUUUUGGGGUCGGGUGCUGAGGUUUGGGAUCAGUUCAUGAGAGUUUGGGGUCAGAUGCUGAGAUUUGGGUCAGAUGCUGAGAUUUGGGGCCGACUGGGCUGAAUUUGGGGUCAUUUCAUGAGAGUUUGGGUCAGAUGCUGAGAUUUGGGGUCCAUUUGUGAGAGUUUGGGGUCAGAUGGAGAUUUUCAUUUUUUUUGGGGUCAGAUCCAGAGAUUUGGGGUCACUAUGUGAGAGUUUGGGGUCAGAUGCU
rnacentral:lncRNA from 7 species